UAAUCCAGCGUUGCCCAUGGUUGCCUGCCGCUCUGCCGGCGGGCAUGAAAAGGGAAUCCGGUGCCGCGCCCGCGCGCGAAUCCCGGAGCUGCCCCCGCAGCUGUAAUCGGCGAGUCCUGCGUCCUUCUCACGCCACUGGAUAGAUUCCGGGAAGGCUGGCGCAAGAUGGCGACCCGAGAGCCAGAAGACCUGCCAUGCGCAUCCACUUCUU
rnacentral:ncRNA from 2 species